rnacentral:rRNA from 1 species
CCUGGUUGAUCCUGCCAGUAGUAUAUGCUUGUCUCAAAGAUUAAGCAUGCAUGUCUCAGUGCAAGCCACAUUAAGGUGAAACCGCGAAUGGCUCAUUACAUCAGUUAUGGUUCCUUAGAUCGUACCCACAUUACUUGGAUAACUGUGGUAUUCUAAGAGCUAAUACAUGCAAAUAGAGUUCCGACCAGAGAUGGAAGGAAUGCUUUUAUUAGAUCAAAACCAAUCGGUGGCGGGCUUGCCUUGCUCACCGUUUGACUUGGUGACUCUGAAUAACUUUGUGCCGAUCGCACGGUCUAGUACCGGCGACGCAUCUUUCAAAUGUCUGCCUUAUCAACUGUCGAUGGUAGUUUCUGCGACUACCAUGGUUGUUACGGGUAACGGGAAUCAGGGUUCGAUUCCGGAGAGGGAGCCUGAGAAACGGCUACCACAUCCAAGGAAGGCAGCAGGCGCGCAAAUUACCCACUCCCGGCACGGGGAGGUAGUGACGAAAAAUAACGAUACGGGACUCAUCCGAGGCCCCGUAAUCGGAAUGAUACACUUUAAAUCCUUUAACGAGGAUCUAUUAGAGGGCCAGUCUGGUGCCAGCAGCCGCGGUAAUUCCAGCUCUAAUAGCGUAUAUUAAAGUUGUUGCGGUUAAAAAGCUCGUAGUUGAAUCUGUGUCCCACACUGUCGGUUCACCCUCGCGGUGUUCAACAGGGCAUGUCUGUGGGACGUCCUACCGGUGGCUUAGCCCGUAAAAAGGCGGCCCAACUCAAAAUCCUACCAAGGUGCUCUUCACCGAGUGUCGAGGUGGGCCGGUACGUUUACUUUGAACAAAUUAGAGUGCUUAAGCAGGCUCAUUCGCCUGAAUUUGUGUGCAUGGAAUAAUGGAAUAGGAAUGGAAUAGGACCUCGGUUCUAUUUGUUGGUUUUCGGAAUUCCGAGGUAAUGAUUAAUAGGGACAACUGGGGGCAUUCGUAUUGCGACGUUAGAGGUGAAAUUCUUGGAUCGUCGCAAGUCCGGGGGAAGUAUGGUUGCAAAGCUGAAACUUAAGGAAUUGACGGAAGGGCACUACAAGGAGUGGAGCCUGCGGCUAAUUUUGACUCAACACGGUAAACCUCACCAGGUCCAGACACCGGAAGGAUUGACAGAUUGAGAGCUCUUUUCUUGAUUCGGUGGGUGGUGGUGCAGGGCCGUUCUUUUUGGUGUGAGCGAUUUGUCUGGUUAAUUCUGAUAACGACGAGACUCUACCUGCUAAAUAACGUACUUUCCGGUAUCCGGUAUCAAAAAGACCCUCCGCUUCGGGCUCGGUCGUUGUUGGUUGUGGUUCUUCACUACCGGCGUACAAAUAUACUUCUUAGAGGGACAGGCGAAUUUAGUCGCACGAAAUUGAGCAAUAACAAGGUCUGUGAUGCCCUUAUGUUCUGGGCCGCACGCGGCUACACUGAAGAGAUCAGCAGGUUUUCCUUGGCCGAAAGGUCCGGGUAAAUCCGUUGAAGCCUCUUCGUGCUAGGGAUGGGGCUUGCAAUUCUUCCCCAUGAACGAGGAAUUCCUAGUAAGCGCGAGUCAUAAGCUUGCGUUGAUUAUGUCCCUGCCCUUUGUACACACCGCCCGUCGCUACUACCGAUUGAAUUAUUUAGUGAGGUCUUCGGACCGGUGCGCGGCAGCGUUUCACAUUGCCGAUGUGCUGGAAGAUAACCAAACUUGAUUAUUUAGAGGAAGUAAAAGUCGUAACAAGGUUUCCGUAGGUGAACCUGCGGAAG